rnacentral:rRNA from 1 species
GACGAACGCUGGCGGCGUGCUUAACACAUGCAAGUCGAACGGAAAGGCCCUGCUUUUGUGGGGUGCUCGAGUGGCGAACGGGUGAGUAACACGUGAGUAACCUGCCCUUGACUUUGGGAUAACUUCAGGAAACUGGGGCUAAUACCGGAUAGGAGCUCCUGCUGCAUGGUGGGGGUUGGAAAGUUUCGGCGGUUGGGGAUGGACUCGCGGCUUAUCAGCUUGUUGGUGGGGUAGUGGCUUACCAAGGCUUUGACGGGUAGCCGGCCUGAGAGGGUGACCGGCCACAUUGGGACUGAGAUACGGCCCAGACUCCUACGGGAGGCAGCAGUGGGGAAUAUUGCACAAUGGGCGGAAGCCUGAUGCAGCAACGCCGCGUGCGGGAUGACGGCCUUCGGGUUGUAAACCGCUUUCGCCUGUGACGAAGCGUGAGUGACGGUAAUGGGUAAAGAAGCACCGGCUAACUACGUGCCAGCAGCCGCGGUAAUACGUAGGUGACAAGCGUUGUCCGGAUUUAUUGGGCGUAAAGGGAGCGCAGGCGGUCUGUUUAGUCUAAUGUGAAAGCCCACGGCUUAACCGUGGAACGGCAUUGGAAACUGACAGACUUGAAUGUAGAAGAGGAAAAUGGAAUUCCAAGUGUAGCGGUGGAAUGCGUAGAUAUUUGGAGGAACACCAGUGGCGAAGGCGAUUUUCUGGUCUAACAUUGACGCUGAGGCUCGAAAGCGUGGGGAGCGAACAGGAUUAGAUACCCUGGUAGUCCACGCCGUAAACGAUGAGUGCUAAGUGUUGGGGGCUUUCCGGCCCUCGGUGCUGGAGCUAACGUAUUAAGCACUCCGCCUGGGGAUUACGACCGCAAGGUUGAAACUCAAAAGAAUUGACGGGGACCCGCACAAGCGGUGGAGCAUGUGGUUUAAUUCGAAGCAACGCGAAGAACCUUACCAGCUCUUGACAUCUUCUGACAACUCUAGAGAUAGAGCGUUCCCUUCGGGGACAGAAUGACAGGUGGUGCAUGGUUGUCGUCAGCUCGUGUCGUGAGAUGUUGGGUUAAGUCCCGUAACGAGCGCAACCCUUGUUGUUAGUUGCCAGCAUUAAGUUGGGCACUUUAACGAGACUGCCGGUGAUAAACCGGAGGAAGGCGGGGAUGACGUCAAAUCAUCAUGCCCCUUAUGAGCUGGGCUACACACGUGCUACAAUGGAUGGUACAACGAGCAGCGAUCCCGCAAGGGCUAGCUAAUCUUUCAAAGCCAUUCUCAGUUCGGAUUGCACUCUGCAACUCGAGUGCAUGAAGUCGGAAUCGCUAGUAAUCGCGAAUCAGAAUGUCGCGGUGAAUCCGUUCCCGGGUCU